rnacentral:lncRNA from 10 species
AGUCAGUAAGAGGUGAAGAACUGAAGAUAAAAAUGUAGGCAGUUCUUUAGAAAUGACUUGCUGUGACAGAGAACAAUUAGAGCUUUAGCUGGAAGGGCACUUGAGAUUUCUGGAAGCCAGCACUGUGGAAGGAGCUCCUGUGGGCUUCGAUUGCUCCCUGGAUCUGCCUCCCAUGGACCUGCCCAGCCGAAGGGGUCACAGACUCCCCUCGCCACCAUUUCACCCUGACCCUACAGGCAGCCACAGAAAGAAAGGAGAAGACUAGGAAAAGAUACAAAUAAAAAUAACCAGAGGAAAGCCAAGAGCGUGCUUUGCACAAACAGUAGACUCUCGAGCUGCAUGAGCUCCAACCGGGGACCCCACACUGUUUCGCCCCCUCACUGUGCCUGCAGUCUCCUCUCAGUCUCAGCCUAGAGUGCACGGCUCUCUGUUGAUAGACUGCCAAAGCGAAGGCUCAGAAAAGAAGGUUAGCUCUGAAAGGAAGAUCUGUCCCUAGAGGAGCUUGUAUCUCAUCCCACUUACUGAGUAUUUCACACCUCUUCUUUUCAACCUUCUCAGUAAGAAUGAAGAACAAACAGGCAGUCACCACCACGUGCCAGGCCCUGUGAUCUUGGGUGAUGUGGGUGAAUAUGUUGAAUUCUCGCAACAAAACUCAGAGGGAGCAUCAGCAUCUUCCAAGUUGACAGACAGGCAGCCACACUGCAGCAGCUGAAAUAAUGAAGGUCACAGCAAAGCACCCAUAAGGAAGGACAUCACACAGACACCUGCCUGAUCGUUCCUUUGCAGACUGCAGCAAUGCCACCUCCAUCUCCAGUUCACUUCUGAGUCUACAAUGGCUGCUUUUGUGGCUGUCACGAGCAUCCUCAGCUCUUCCCUGGCGAGAUCCAUGUCCGCCGUCUUCACCGGCCUCUGCCCCAGCGCCUUGAGUUGAGCCAGAAGAGCCUAGGCAGGACCAGGUACAUGAGCCAGAAAGAGAGUACUGGAAGGGCGAUUCUGCUGGUUCUUAGAAGUAACUUUGACGCCAACCCUUACUACUUACAGCUCUGAAAUGAGAAAGACGGUGAUGUAGGCGUUACUGGUUGUGAGGAUGGAAUUACACGGUACUGUGAAUGAGGGGG